rnacentral:rRNA from 1 species
AUUGAAUGCUGGCGGCAGGCCUAACACAUGCAAGUCGAGCGAGCGGCGGACGGGUGAGUAAUGUCCGGCAAACUGCCUGAUGGAGGGGGAUAACUACUGGAAACGGUAGCUAAUACCGCAUACCAUCAGAAGUGCCUAGAUGGGAUUAGCUAGUAGGUGGGGUAACGGCUCACCUAGGCGACGAUCCCUAGCUGGUCUGAGAGGAUGACCAGCCACACUGUAACUUAGACACGGUCCUGACACCUACUGGAGGCAGCAGAAGAUAAUAUUGCACAUUAGGCGCAAGCCUACAGCAGGCAUGCCGCAGGUGGGAAGAAGACCUUCGAGUUGUAAAACACUUUCAGCGAGGAGGCGUUACCCGCAGAAGAGGCACCGGCUAACUCCGUGCCAGCAGCCACGGUAAUUC